AUUGAACGCUGGCGGCAGGCCUAACACAUGCAAGUCGAGCGAGCGGCGGACGGGUGAGGAAUGUCUGGGAAACUGCCGGAUGGAGGGGGAUAACUACGGGAAACGGUAGCUAAUACCGCAUACCAUCAGAUGGGCCCAGAUGGGAUUAGCUAGUGGUUGGGUUAACGGCUCACCUAGGCGACGAUCCCUAGCUGGUCUGAGAGGAUGACCAGCCACACUGGAACUGAGAAACGGCCCAGACUCCUACGGGAGGCAGCAGUGGGGAAUAUUGCGCAAUGGGCGCAAGCCUGAUGCAGCCACGCCGCGUGUGUGAAGAAGGCAUUCGGGUUGUAAAGCACUUUUGGCGGGGAGGCGGUACCCGCAGAAGAAGCACCGGCUAACUCCGUGCCAGCAGCCGCGGUAAUGC
rnacentral:rRNA from 1 species